CCCCUUUUUCAGCUGCACCGACAGCUACUGCAAGCACCAAUCUCCUGAACUGCAAACCCACGAAUUCACCAACUCCCGAACUGCAUACCAAGGGAAUACUCGAAACUCCCGAACUGGAGACACACGAAUAGCUGCUAGCAGACGAACAGGAAAAGCCCCCAAGUGGCUUACACUCCUGGCAAUCAGUCUCUAACAGCAUACAGUAAAUCCUCCCCCAAUAAUGAG